AGGAGAUGUGGAUUCAAUUUCUGGUUCCCCAGGAAGAGUCCCUGGAGAAGGAAAUGGCAAACAACUCCAGUAUUUUUGCUGGGAAAGUCCCAUGGAUAGAAGACCCUUGCAGGCUACAGUCCCUGGAUUUGCAAGAGAGUCCGACACAACUGAGUGACCAAACAACAUGUUCUCUGACCAGGGAUCAAACCCUGCAGUGGAAGCUUGGAGUCCUAACCAAUGGACCGCUGGGGAAGUCCCUGUACAGCUUUUCAAGACCUGAUCCACCCAGCUUUCCAAAAGCAUCUCCUCCAUCUGCAAGUCUUAGUUUUGGCCUGUGGGAUCUAGUUCCCCAACCAGGGAUGGAACCCGGGCCUCCUGCAUUGGGAACGCGGAGUCUCAGCCGCUGGACCGCCAGGGAAGCCCCAGAUAGGACAUCAGACUUCUCCAAGGAGUUCGAGAUAGGCUCAUCAUCACAGAUAAAGGCGAGGAACCUGCCCUUUAAAUAAACCUGCCAGAUUUGAUGUGUCUGAAUGAGCAUCCUCUUGUGGCAUCAGCGUGGCACUCUCCAGGCUUGUUCCAAAGGCAACUGUUUGCGGGUGUCAGUGUCAGAGUUUAUCUGAGCAAGGUGCUUAUAAGGAACAUGCUUUUGACCAAGGAACCUUGUUGGAGCACAGAAUCACAGCGGGUAAGUGAGCACUGAAGAGGAUUUCUGUCUAGGGAUGUGUGUUUGGGGAGCAGGGAUGAGAGGCUGCAGACCAAGGCCUGGGGAGCGAUUGAUGGCUCUACAUCUUUCUCUUUUGUCUUUAUUGAAUUUGCUGUAUUACUGCUUCUAUUUUUUUCUGUUUUGGGGUUUGGGAGCUACAA
ensembl:lncRNA